rnacentral:rRNA from 1 species
UACGAAGGGGGCUAGCGUUGCUCGGAAUUACUGGGCGUAAAGCGCGCGUAGACGGCUUUGUAAGUCGGAUGUGAAAUCCCCGGGCUCAACCUGGGAACUGCAUUCGAAACUGCACUGCUAGAGUAUGGAAGAGGGAAGUGGAAUUUCCGGUGUAGCGGUGAAAUGCGUAGAUAUCGGAAGGAACACCAGUGGCGAAAGCGACUUCCUGGUCCAAUACUGACGUUCAUGUGCGAAAGCGUGGGGAGCAAACAGG